AUAAUAUACAGGGGUUAGCCAUUUACACACGUUUUAAUACCUGUGCCGCAAGAUGAGGGAAUUUGACCUGGACUGUGUUGGCUGUGGUAUAUCACAAGGUAUUUCAUCUGUAAUGACCAAUGAAAGCAAUGUAAACACACACAACUAACGACUUUCGAGAUGAUGCGAGCAUACAUAGGCAGACAUAGCCUACUACCAACACCACAGUCAGGUAGCCAAAGUGAAUAAUAGGAUAAACUAAAAUCCUCUAAAUGGCUCCAGUCCUGACUCAACCUCCGAGACAUUCUGUGGCUCUUGCAUUUUCAACACCAAUUACGAGUUCCCUUUUAGUUUGAGGUGUGCGACGCUUGCUACCAUGCAACAUCAAUAGAACAAAGUGGAAGAGGCGAGAGAGAGAGUCUCUACCCUCCCCUCCCAUUUCGCGCCGUUUCUCUCCCCUAAAACCGUGAGAGAUGCGUAAACAGGGCAGACGUUCAUUCUAAUUGCGCCGCAGGGAAACAGACGCCGGAGUUAAAUCUAACCAUGGGGAGUUCCACGAGCUACCGGUGUCUCGGUCAUCAUCCAUGGGAGAAAAAUAAACGAAUCACAAGAGUCAGAGACAGUAGAAUAACUUGACUGCCCGCUUUUCAAACAAAGGCACAGUGGAGAGACGAGAGUGAAUUCAAGCAGGCGACAAUGACCCAACACACCUCCAGGCUGUGUAAGGACUAUUUGACCAAGAAGGAGAGUGAUGGAGUGCUGCAUCAGAUGACCUGGCCUCCACAAUCACCCGACCUCAACCCAAUUGAGAUAGUUUGGCAUGAGUUGGACCGCAGAGUGAAGGUAAAGCAGCCAACAAGUGCUCAGCACAUGUAGGAACACCUUCAAGACUGUUGGAAAAUCAUUCCAAGUGAAGCUGGUUGACAGAAUGCCAAGAAUGUGGAAAGCUGUCAUCAAGGCAAAGGGUGGGUAUUUUGAAGAACCUCAAAUAUAAAAUAUAUUUUUGAUUGAACACUUUUAAUACAUUAUUCCAUAUGUGUUAUUUCAUAGUUUUGAUGUAUUCACUAUUAUUCUACAAUGUAGAAAAUAGUAAAAAUAAAGAAAAACCCUUGAAUAGAUGUGUCCACACUUUCGGCUGGUACUGUAUUACAGGCUCAAAUUAACAAGUCCCAUCAGGCAUAGUGGUAGAAUGUCUCGCCUAUGGAGAAUAAUGACAUUUUUCCAGCCCAGUGGCUCUCGUAUAGUGGUGCUGUCCAUGGUGCUGAAACAGGCCUCUACAUUUUCUGUCAUUAUGUGGAAUCCACACUUUCAGACUCAACACUCACUCAGAGAGAGAUUGUAAGAGAGUGUAUCUGGUCCCAAAACACCCCUUGUCCCUAUUCCUGUCCCCUAUGUGACGUGUAAAUCCAGGCCCCCAUACAACAUGGUGGAAUCUCCCAUCAAACCUAUGGCAUGAUCAGCAACACACCAAAAAUGCUAUAUUACAUGCAGGAACCCAAAUCUGUACAAAUAUAUUACAUCCCUAGCCGGCUACCACCCGGUUACUCAACUCUGCACCUUAUAGGCUGUUGCCCUAUAUACAUACUGUAGACAUGGAAUCACUGGUCACUUUAAUAAUUAUAACACUGCUUUACUCAUCACAUAUGUAUAUACUGUAUUCUACUGUAUUUUAGUCAAUGCCACUCCGACAUUGCUCGUCCAAAUAUUUAUAUGUUUCUCCAUUCCAUUGUUUUACUUGUAGAUUUGUGUGUAUUGUUAGAUACUACAGCACUGUUGGAGCUAGGAAAACAAGCAUUUCGCUACACCCACAAUAACAUCUGCUAAAUGUGUCUAUGUGACCAAUGCAAUUUGAUUUGAUUUAAAACAGUAAAUUGUCUGUCACGUUCUGACCUUAGUUCUGUUAUUAUAUCUUUGUUUUAGUAUGGUCAGGGUGUGAGUUGGGUGGGCAGUCUGUUUGUUUUUCUAUGUUGGUUUUUGAGUUCGGCCUAGUAUGGUUCUCAAUCAGAGGCAGCUGUCAAUUGUUGUCCCUGAUUGAGAAUCAUACUUAGGUAGCCUGGGUUUCACUUUUGGGUUGUGGGUGUUUGUUUUCCGUGUUUUCGGUUUUGUAUAUUCACGUCAUCGUUUGUUGUUUUGUUCCAGUGUUCUAUUGUCUUGAUUAAAAAACAUU